rnacentral:misc_RNA from 1 species
UCAAACUUGGUCAUUUAGAGGAAGUAAAAGUCGUAACAAGGUUUCCGUAGGUGAACCUGCGGAAGGAUCAUUAGUGAAUAAACUUGUGUGAGUUGUUGCUGGCCACCUCGGUGGCAUGUGCACACUUGCCGUUGUUUCAUUCCUUCCCUUCCACCUGUGCACUCAUUGUAGACCACACUGCCGAUCUUUCAGGUCUGUGCUUUUCUGCACUUUCCUGGUGUGAGGACCUGCCUAACCAGGGCUGUCCUUGGGUUGUGUUGGCCUAUGUCCUCAUCAACUCUAUUGUAUGUGACUGAAUGUAUGACCUGGGUCUGUAGACCCAUAAAAUCUAUACAACUUUCAACAACGGAUCUCUUGGCUCUCGCAUCGAUGAAGAACGCAGC